AUACGUCCCUGGCAGAGGAGAUACCAUGAUCAGGAAGGUGGUUUUCCCAGGGCGAGGUUUAUCCAUUGCACCCUGGAUGUGCUGAUCCCGGCAAUGUCCCCAAAUGCAGGAAACUGCAUAAUUUGUGGUAGUGGGGGACUACGUUCCCAUUCUCUCCUG